rnacentral:rRNA from 1 species
GACGAACGCUGGCGGCGUGCUUAACACAUGCAAGUCGAACGGAAAGGCCCUGCUUUUGUGGGGUGCUCGAGUGGCGAACGGGUGAGUAACACGUGAGUAACCUGCCCUUGACUUUGGGAUAACUUCAGGAAACUGGGGCUAAUACCGGAUAGGAGCUCCUGCUGCAUGGUGGGGGUUGGAAAGUUUCGGCGGUGGGGGAUGGACUCGCGGCUUAUCAGCUGGUUGGUGGGGUAGUGGAGUACCAAGGCUUUGACGGGUAGGCGGCCUGAGAGGGUUACCGGCCACAUGAGGACUGAGGGACGGCCCAGACGCCUACGUGACGCAGCAGUGGAGGAUAUUGCGCAAUGGGCGGGAGCCUGAUGCGGCAGCGCCGCGUGCGGGAUGACGGCCUUCGGGUUGUAAACCGCUUUCGCCUGUGACGAAGCGUGAGUGACGGUAAUGGGUAAAGAAGCACCGGCUAACUACGUG